CCUACGGGUGGCUGCAGUGGGGAAUAUUGCACAAUGGGGGAAACCCUGAUGCAGCGACGCCGCGUGAGUGAAGAAGUAUUUCGGUACGUAAAGAGAGAGGAGAAGGGAAGAAAAAAAGUCCUUUGGACUUUGGACGGUACCUGACUAAGAAGCCCCGGCUAACUACGUGCCAGCAGCCGCGGUAAUACGUAGGGGGCAAGCGUUAUCCGGAUUUACUGGGUGUAAAGGGAGCGUAGACGGCAGCGCAAGUCUGGAGUGAAAUGCCGGGGCCCAACCCCGGAACUGCUUUGGAAACUGUGCAGCUGGAGUGCAGGAGAGGUAAGCGGAAUUCCUAGUGUAGCGGUGAAAUGCGUAGAUAUUAGGAGGAACACCAGUGGCGAAGGCGGCUUACUGGACUGUAACUGACGUUGAGGCUCGAAAGCGUGGGGAGCCAACAGGCUUAGAUCCCCCACUCGUC
rnacentral:rRNA from 1 species